rnacentral:rRNA from 1 species
ACCAGCUAAUCUACCUGGAGCCAAGCAGGUUAAGCCCUGGCCAGUACUUGGAUGGGAGACCAAGUAGGAAAACUAGGUAACUGCUGGAU